rnacentral:rRNA from 1 species
AACACGGAGCUUGCUCUGUGGGAUCAGUGGCGAACGGGUGAGUAACACGUGAGCAACCUGCCCCUGACUCUGGGAUAAGCGCUGGAAACGGCGUCUAAUACUGGAUAUGUGACGUGACCGCAUGGUCUGCGUCUGGAAAGAAUUUCGGUUGGGGAUGGGCUCGCGGCCUAUCAGCUUGUUGGUGAGGUAAUGGCUCACCAAGGCGUCGACGGGUAGCCGGCCUGAGAGGGUGACCGGCCACACUGGGACUGAGACACGGCCCAGACUCCUACGGGAGGCAGCAGUGGGGAAUAUUGCACAAUGGGCGCAAGCCUGAUGCAGCAACGCCGCGUGAGGGACGACGGCCUUCGGGUUGUAAACCUCUUUUAGCAGGGAAGAAGCGAAAGUGACGGUACCUGCAGAAAAAGCGCCGGCUAACUACGUGCCAGCAGCCGCGGUAAUACGUAGGGCGCAAGCGUUAUCCGGAAUUAUUGGGCGUAAAGAGCUCGUAGGCGGUUUGUCGCGUCUGCUGUGAAAUCCGGAGGCUCAACCUCCGGCCUGCAGUGGGUACGGGCAGACUAGAGUGCGGUAGGGGAGAUUGGAAUUCCUGGUGUAGCGGUGGAAUGCGCAGAUAUCAGGAGGAACACCGAUGGCGAAGGCAGAUCUCUGGGCCGUAACUGACGCUGAGGAGCGAAAGGGUGGGGAGCAAACAGGCUUAGAUACCCUGGUAGUCCACCCCGUAAACGUUGGGAACUAGUUGUGGGGUCCAUUCCACGGAUUCCGUGACGCAGCUAACGCAUUAAGUUCCCCGCCUGGGGAGUACGGCCGCAAGGCUAAAACUCAAAGGAAUUGACGGGGACCCGCACAAGCGGCGGAGCAUGCGGAUUAAUUCGAUGCAACGCGAAGAACCUUACCAAGGC